rnacentral:lncRNA from 1 species
CCCCCCUGACCCCCAUUUUUUCCCCCCCCGUAGCCCUCGCUGGGCCCCGUCACCCUCCACGGCUCCCUCCUGCUCCAGCACCUCCUGCAUUUCGGGGACCCGGGGCCGGUUCUGGGGGGGUUGGAGGCUUUGCCCCCCCAGGCCCUGGUGGCCUUGGCUCGUAGCCCCCCAGGGAGCCGGGUCUGGGAUGCCCUCCUGGCCUCCCCCACCGUGCCCCCCCGCGCCCGCCGGCGCCUCCUCCGCAAGCUCAAGGGUCACUUCCUGUCCCUGGCCUGUCACCGCAACGGCAGCCGCGUCCUCGACGCCGUCUGGGCCUCGGCCUCCGCCCCGGCCCGCGCCGCCAUCGCCGAGGAGCUGGGUGAGUAUUUUUGGGGGCAAAAAAAGGGGGGGAAACGCCCCCAAAUUUAGGGGAUCCCCCCCCAUAACGUUCCCCCUUCCCCCCUGCCCCACAGCCCCCCAGCACCAGGCCCUACGGAGAGACCCCCACGGCCGGGGGGUGGCCCGGACCAUGGACCUCGACCUCUUCUUGCGCCGGCGACGGGUUUGGGAGAGGCUGCAGGAGACCCAGGGGGGAAAACGUGGCCUCUUGGGACCCCUCCUGGGGGAUUGAGAGACGCCCCCCAACCUUCCCGGGCACAGGGGGGGCGCGAGGAGGGGAGCCCCUGGGGAGAGGCGCCCCUCUGGAGGACUUUAGGGCACAGAGAGGAGGGAUGGAGAGACAGAGCGGCUCCUUGGAGGGAUAGAAAACCAUCUUG